ensembl:lncRNA
AUUCGAGCACCGGCUCCCGCCUCAGCCCCUCACCCCACUGCGGCAGCCUGCAACCUGACAAGUCGGUGGGGGCUGCGCAGCAGCCUGGCACGCCCCCGCCCGCUGGUGGGGCUCAUCGCAAACACCUGCCAGAGCUCGACCGCGCCGGUAGCCGGGAGUCCCAGCAUCAUGUUUGAUCCUGCCCUCGCCCCGGCGCUGCACCGAAACCUUGCCAGUGGCCUUCAAGGGACUCCAUCCAGUGCGUCCUCGCACCUCGAGUGCCCGCGCCGCCGCCUCCCAGGAUUCCCUCCCAGCCAAUGUCCCUCUGACGGUUUUCGCGCCCCUCCUUGACCCUGCUAAACUCAGCUGCCAGGGACCAUCCCCGAGUGAAGGCAGGUGCUCGCGGGGUGCCGGUCCCUGGAGCGGGUGCUGUCCAGGGUGCACGAGGCGCGUCGCCGGUGCGGUGCCCUAGUGGGCCAGAGCAAACCCAGGGCUCCGGAGCGGGGGCGUUUUCGCUAAUCGCCGAACCGCUCCCCUCCGGGUUCCCGCGGAAGGCCAGGGAAGAGCACUGGCCAGAUUGUUGUGGACUCGGGUUCCGGGGCAACGCGCAACGCGGGUCUGGACGCCAGGGAUGGGGUUGAGGCGCUCCAGAGAAGACGCCUCCGAACUCAAGUUCUUCUUCCUCACCAUGGAAGCAAUAUGCAGAAAAAGACCUGAUGCUGAACAUGCUUUGGCCGACUGGGUGCUGCUGAUUUGCAGAUCUCAAUAUGUAUAUCUAUGCUACCAGAGGUUCCACUCAAAGAAAAUGAGCAGUAUUUGCCUCCCCAUUGGAGGUUACAGAGCUUCAGCAAAACCACCAACUUUCUUGAGCUUUGUUCUUUUUAAUUUGCUUUGCAUUGAGGCUAGGGAACUUAAACUGAACUAAGGAUUACUCCCUUUUGUGUUCAUUCAGUAGGUACACAUCUGGUGGUGACUACAUGUGAGAAACUGCUGUGGCAUGUACAAAGGGGAGCUAAAUUAAGAAAAAACAUUAAAAAUGGUCUUUGAACCUUAACACUCACUUUCUAGGACAAAUCUCAGAUACCUACAGUCAGCUCACCUAAGCAAAUGAUGAUAAGUGAAUUUUUGUAGGAGUUCAUGUGAGAAGAACAAGAAGAGAUUGCUUUUUAGAGUACUCAGAUUUCUUAAAAGGGCUUCCAUUUUCCCUAGAAUUACAAGUAUGAUUGAGACAUUACAGAGAUAGUAGGAAAAUGGAAAGGGAGUGACAGGAGCCAAGUUGGGGUAAAAUGUGUGACACUGUCACAAAAUUGGGAGCCACAGAUUCUGUUUUGAUGAAAGAGUUAUAUAUCAGGAACUCACUAGGAAGAACUUCCCACGAGAAUGCAGUUUUCCUAGUUCUAGCAGCCAAUGCAGUAGAUUAAGUGAGAAACAGAGAGAGAGAGAGAGAGAGAGAGAGAGAGAGAGAGAGAGAGAGAGAGAGAGAGACAGCCCACAAUCAGCUGUCCACCAGCGCACACCAGGACAGCCAACAGACUUCCACUGGGAAAGCCAUUACAUGUAGGGUUCUGACACUGGAGGGUGAAUGUUCUGUCUAGAUGUCCCCCAAAACCUCAUGCACCCACAGGUGGGGCUUCUGGGAGGUGACUGAAUCAUGGUUAUGUGACACUCCUGGAUUAGUCCACUGAUGGAAUUAUAAACCCUGGUAGGAAGAGGUAGGUCACUGUGGACGUGGCCUGGAAGGACAUAUAUCCUUCUUCUCUUGAUCCCUCACUGCUUCUUGCCUGCCAUGCCAUGAACUGAUUCUCCUCUGCCAUGCCGCCCUGCAUUGGAGCCAGCCACCUAUGAAAUGAAACCUCUACAAUUUGAGCCAAAUUAAAUCUUUCCUCCUUUAACUUGUGCAUGUCAGGUAUUUUGUUCCAGCAAUGACACAGUGACUAAAAGAGUGAACAAUAUAAGAGUGGUUUAGAAGCCUUGUUUUGACUUUGUAAAGUCAAUGUAUUAAACUUUUC